GAUGAACGCUGGCGACGUGCCUAAUACAUGCAAGUCGAGCGAACAGACGAGGAGCUUGCUCCUCUGACGUUAGCGGCGGACGGGUGAGUAACACGUGGAUAACCUACCUAUAAGACUGGGAUAACUUCGGGAAACCGGAGCUAAUACCGGAUAAUAUUUUGAACCGCAUGGUUCAAUAGUGAAAGACGGUUUUGCUGUCACUUAUAGAUGGAUCCGCGCCGCAUUAGCUAGUUGGUAAGGUAACGGCUUACCAAGGCAACGAUGCGUAGCCGACCUGAGAGGGUGAUCGGCCACACUGGAACUGAGACACGGUCCAGACUCCUACGGGAGGCAGCAGUAGGGAAUCUUCCGCAAUGGGCGAAAGCCUGACGGAGCAACGCCGUGUGAGUGAUGAAGGUCUUCGGAUCGUAAAACUCUGUUAUUAGGGAAGAACAAAUGUGUAAGUAACUAUGCACGUCUUGACGGUACCUAAUCAGAAAGCCACGGCUAACUACGUG
rnacentral:rRNA from 1 species